GACGUAGGGCGCGAGCGUUGUCCGGAUUUAUUGGGCGUAAAGAGCUCGUAGGCGGCUUGUCGCGUCGUCCGUGAAAACUUGGGGCUCAACCCCAAGCUUGCGGUCGAUACGGGCAGGCUAGAGUUCGGUAGGGGAGACUGGAAUUCCUGGUGUAGCGGUGAAAUGCGCAGAUAUCAGAGGAACACCGGUGGCGAAGGCGGGUCUCUGGGCCGAUACUGACGCUGAGGAGCGAAAGCGUGGGGAGCGAACAGG
rnacentral:rRNA from 1 species